rnacentral:rRNA from 1 species
AUGAACGCUAGCUACAGGCUUAACACAUGCAAGUCGAGGGGCAGCAUGGUCUUAGCUUGCUAAGGCCGAUGGCGACCGGCGCACGGGUGAGUAACACGUAUCCAACCUGCCGUCUACUCUUGGACAGCCUUCUGAAAGGAAGAUUAAUACAAGAUGGCAUCAUGAGUCCACAUGUUCACAUGAUUAAAGGUAUUCCGGUAGACGAUGGGGAUGCGUUCCAUUAGAUAGUAGGCGGGGUAACGGCCCACCUAGUCUUCGAUGGAUAGGGGUUCUGAGAGGAAGGUCCCCCACAUUGGAACUGAGACACGGUCCAAACUCCUACGGGAGGCAGCAGUGAGGAAUAUUGGUCAAUGGGCGAGAGCCUGAACCAGCCAAGUAGCGUGAAGGAUGACUGCCCUAUGGGUUGUAAACUUCUUUUGUAAAGGAAUAAAGUCGGGUAUGGAUACCCGUUUGCAUGUACUUUAUGAAUAAGGAUCGGCUAACUCCGUGCCAGCAGCCGCGGUAAUACGGAGGAUCCGAGCGUUAUCCGGAUUUAUUGGGUUUAAAGGGAGCGUAGAUGGAUGUUUAAGUCAGUUGUGAAAGUUUGCGGCUCAACCGUAAAAUUGCAGUUGAUACUGGAUAUCUUGAGUGCAGUUGAGGCAGGCGGAAUUCGUGGUGUAGCGGUGAAAUGCUUAGAUAUCACGAAGAACUCCGAUUGCGAAGGCAGCCUGCUAAGCUGCAACUGACAUUGAGGCUCGAAAGUGUGGGUAUCAAACAGGAUUAGAUACCCUGGUAGUCCACACGGUAAACGAUGAAUACUCGCUGUUUGCGAUAUACGGCAAGCGGCCAAGCGAAAGCGUUAAGUAUUCCACCUGGGGAGUACGCCGGCAACGGUGAAACUCAAAGGAAUUGACGGGGGCCCGCACAAGCAGUGGAGUAUGUGGUUUAAUUCGACGCAACGCGAAGAACCUUACCAGGUCUUGACAUUGAUCGCGAUCUGCAGAAAUGCGGAGUUCUUCUUCGGAAGACGAGAAAACAGGUGGUGCACGGCUGUCGUCAGCUCGUGUCGUGAGAUGUUGGGUUAAGUCCCGCAACGAGCGCAACCCCUGUGAUUAGUUGCCAGCGAGUAAUGUCGGGAACUCUAAUCAAACUGCCGGUGAUAAAUCGGAGGAAGGUGGGGACGACGUCAAAUCAUCAUGCCCUUUAUGUCUUGGGCUACACACGUACUACAAUGGCUAUAACAAAGAGAAGCGAGACAGUGAUGUGGAGCAAAACUCAAAAAAAUAGUCUCAGUUCGGAUUGAAGGCUGAAAUUCGCCUUCAUGAAGCUGGAAUUGCUAGUAAUGGCAGGUCAGCAUACUGCCGUGAAUACGUUCCCGGGCCUUGUACACACCGCCCGUCACACCAUGAGAGUCGGGAAUACCCGAAGCCUGUGAGCCAACAUAUUUAUAUGAGGCAGCAGUCGAAGGUAGAAUCGAUGAUUGGGGUG